CAUUUUUUUUUCUUUACCAAACUAUAGAUCAUCAUUUUAAAAUUUAAAAUGGCAUUUCCCUGCACUUCGUUUGUUCACUAUCAUUGUGUUGUGCUAUAUUUUUACAGAAUAUUCGGAGUUCUGGAAGGAUACAGUGCAAACUUCAAUGAAAUCUCUGGAAUAGAGCUCUUUUGUUUGUGGUUUGUGAGGCAUUAUUGCGGCCCAAGUUUCCUGUGUUGAGCAAUUCUGGAAUCAUCCUUUCUGUCGCAAAGCUCUCUCCUGGCCACGCAGCUUUUCGUUUCUUGGCAAGCUAUCAAAAUGGGAAGUUCAUGCUUGCAUAGUGCAGGUUUCCUUGCGUUGAUUUAUUGGAACUUGCAAAGGCAUUCCAGUCCAAGGUGUUCUGCUUCAGAAUAGAUUGUGGAUCCUCUGCUUCCUUGGUUCCCUGUAUCGUCCUGUCUUUCGGGAACCAACCUCUGCAAUUGCUUACCUGCUGUGCUUGUCAUGGGAUUAGUGCUGCUGUAAGUUUCUUCUGCAGGAUCCAAUCCCAGAUUUUCUCUACUUCUCUGCCCAGAUUUUCUGUCCCACUCUCAGAUUUAGAAGGGUGUCGUAAUGGGUACAAAAGAGCCUGAGAUCACCUUGUUGAAUCUUGGGUCCUCUUUAAGUCUUUUGAUUGUUCUUCUUCAAAAAUUGGUAACAUAUAUCUGGUAUCGAAUUUAUUUCUUGCUUUUGUUUUAUUUAUGAAGCAAUUCUGGAAUCAUCCUUUCUGUCGCAAAGCUCUCUCCUGCAAAAAUACUGCAAUUUUCCUUGCGUUGAUUUAUUGGAACUUGCAAAGGCAUUUCUGCCCAAGGUGUUCUGCUCCAGAAUAGAUUGUGGAUCCUCUGCUUCCUUGGUUCCCUGUAUUGUCCUGUCUUUCCAGAACCAACCUCUGCAAUUGCUUACCUGCUGUGCUUGUUAUGGGAUUACGGCUGCUGUAGGUUUCUUCUGCAGGAUCCAAACCCAGAUUUUCUCUACUUCUCUGCCCAGAUUUUCUGUCCUACUCUCCUGCUUUCUCUGGUCGACUGUAGCAGCUCAACGUUUCUGCUUCCUGGUUUUCACUGCAAUAGAAUCCUGCCUUCCUUCUAAUGCAGUCUGUUCCAGAUUUUAUUCUUCUCCAGUGCUGCAGUCUGCUUGACUGAAUUUAUUCUUCUACUGGCUUCCUUCUACUGGUUGCUGGGUUCUACUAUGGAGAUUUAUUUUUGCUGUGUUCCUCUUGAGCUGUUUUUUACUGGAGCUGAAGUCUGCACAAGAAAGCUGUCUGUGCAGUUCUCGGAAGAAGCAAGCACUACCAGUCUGCCUGCUACUUUGCCUUUCCGGAUUGUGCAGCAUUGCAGCCAUUUGGGUGAAAUCCUGCCAAUGCCCAAGCUGCCCAGGAAUAGCAGCAUUGGUCACCUCAUCCUUGCAGUUCUAGUUUUUUUCCCAGGCGCAACAAUUAUGCUCGUUUCUUCUUGUUUGUUGUUACUGUUGCCCAGGAAUAGCAGCAUUGGAUGAUUAUCAAAACUCCUUGAAUCUUUUUGCAUCUUGCUAUAAAUAUCA